AACGCAUAUUGCGCCCCUUGGCACUCCGAGGGGCACGCCUGUUCGAGCGUCAUUACACCCAUCACGCCUGGCGUGGUGUUGGGAGUGGUCGCCACGACCCUCCCGGAACUCGUUGGCGGCGCCUUUGCACGGUCGUAGCACGCACGCGACGCACCAUGGAAGCGGCGCCCGCCCAUCCUAUCUCUCCAACGUUUGACCUCGGAUCAGGUGGGGAUACCCGCUGAACUUAA
rnacentral:misc_RNA from 1 species